GACCCGUAGGUGAACCUGCGGAAGGAUCAUUAAUGUGUUUGGGCCUCACGGCUCUUCAUUCCGACGCUGUGCGCCUUCGGGCUGCACGCUGAGGGAGCAUAUAUCCACCCCUGUGCACACACACGGUGGCGAGCUGGGUAACGGCUCGCCGCUGAUCUUUACACACGUCUAAAAGUCAUUGUAUGUUUAUUUGAGAUAAAAACACAACUUUCAGCAACGGAUCUCUUGGCUCUC
rnacentral:misc_RNA from 1 species